rnacentral:rRNA from 1 species
AUUGAACGCUGGCGGAAUGCUUUACACAUGCAAGUCGAACGGUAGAGGGGGCAACCCCUUGAGAGUGGCGAACGGGUGAGUAAUAUAUCGGAACGUGCCCGGUCGUGGGGAUAACGUAGCGAAAGUUACGCUAAUACCGCAUACGAUCUAAGGAUGAAAGCGGGGGAUCGCAAGACCUCGCGCGAUUGGAGCGGCCGAUAUCAGAUUAGGUAGUUGGUGAGGUAAAGGCUCACCAAGCCGACGAUCUGUAGCUGGUCUGAGAGGACGACCAGCCACACUGGAACUGAGACACGGUCCAGACUCCUACGGGAGGCAGCAGUGGGGAAUUUUGGACAAUGGACGCAAGUCUGAUCCAGCCAUUCCGCGUGCAGGAUGAAGGCCCUCGGGUUGUAAACUGCUUUUGUACGGAACGAAACGGUGAGCUCUAAUACAGUUUGCUAAUCCGAGGUACCGUAAGAAUAAGCACGGCUAACUACGUGCCAGCAGCCGCGGUAAAGUG